rnacentral:rRNA from 1 species
UACGUAGGUGGCAAGCGUUGUCCGGAUUUACUGGGCGUAAAGCGCGCGCAGGCGGCUGGCCAAGUCCGAUGUGAAAGCUUCCGGCUUAACUGGAAAACGGCAUCGGAUACUGGUCGGCUGGAAGGUGGGAGAGGGUAGCGGAAUUCCCGGUGUAGUGGUGAAAUGCGUAGAUAUCGGGAGGAACACCAGUGGCGAAAGCGGCUACCUGGACCACUAUUGACGCUGAGGCGCGAAAGCUAGGGGAGCAAACGGG